rnacentral:rRNA from 1 species
AAAUUAACAUUAUAACGGCGUAAAGAGUGGUCACAUGCUAUCCAAGUAGCUAAGAUUAAAAAGCAACUGAGUUGUCACAAGCUAAAGAUGCGGCAUAAGGCCUCUAUUCAAAGAAGAUCUUAGACUAACGAUCAAUUGAAGCCACGAAAGCCAGGGCCCAAACUGGGAUUAGAUACCCCACUAUGCCUGGCCCUAAAUCUUGAUGCUUGAUCUAACCGGAGCAUCCGCCCGAGAACUACGAGCACAAACGCUUAAAACUCUAAGGACUUGGCGGUGCUCCAAACCCACCUAGAGGAGCCUGUUCUGUAAUCGAUGAUCCACGAUGCACCCAACCAUUCCUUGCCCAAAACAGCCUAUAUACCGCCGUCUCCAGCCCACCCUCCAUGAGGGCCCAACAGU